rnacentral:rRNA from 3 species
UGAUUGGUGCUUGCAUCAUGAUUUACAUUUGAGUGAGUGGCGAACUGGUGAGUAACACGUGGGAAACCUGCCCAGAAGCGGGGGAUAACACCUGGAAACAGAUGCUAAUACCGCAUAACAACUUGGACCGCAUGGUCCGAGUUUGAAAGAUGGCUUCGGCUAUCACUUUUGGAUGGUCCCGCGGCGUAUUAGCUAGAUGGUGGGGUAACGGCUCACCAUGGCAAUGAUACGUAGCCGACCUGAGAGGGUAAUCGGCCACAUUGGGACUGAGACACGGCCCAAACUCCUACGGGAGGCAGCAGUAGGGAAUCUUCCACAAUGGACGAAAGUCUGAUGGAGCAACGCCGCGUGAGUGAAGAAGGGUUUCGGCUCGUAAAACUCUGUUGUUAAAGAAGAACAUAUCUGAGAGUAACUGUUCAGGUAUUGACGGUAUUUAACCAGAAAGCCACGGCUAACUACGUGCCAGCAGCCGCGGUAAUACGUAGGUGGCAAGCGUUGUCCGGAUUUAUUGGGCGUAAAGCGAGCGCAGGCGGUUUUUUAAGUCUGAUGUGAAAGCCUUCGGCUCAACCGAAGAAGUGCAUCGGAAACUGGGAAACUUGAGUGCAGAAGAGGACAGUGGAACUCCAUGUGUAGCGGUGAAAUGCGUAGAUAUAUGGAAGAACACCAGUGGCGAAGGCGGCUGUCUGGUCUGUAACUGACGCUGAGGCUCGAAAGUAUGGGUAGCAAACAGGAUUAGAUACCCUGGUAGUCCAUACCGUAAACGAUGAAUGCUAAGUGUUGGAGGGUUUCCGCCCUUCAGUGCUGCAGCUAACGCAUUAAGCAUUCCGCCUGGGGAGUACGGCCGCAAGGCUGAAACUCAAAGGAAUUGACGGGGGCCCGCACAAGCGGUGGAGCAUGUGGUUUAAUUCGAAGCUACGCGAAGAACCUUACCAGGUCUUGACAUACUAUGCAAAUCUAAGAGAUUAGACGUUCCCUUCGGGGACAUGGAUACAGGUGGUGCAUGGUUGUCGUCAGCUCGUGUCGUGAGAUGUUGGGUUAAGUCCCGCAACGAGCGCAACCCUUAUUAUCAGUUGCCAGCAUUAAGUUGGGCACUCUGGUGAGACUGCCGGUGACAAACCGGAGGAAGGUGGGGAUGACGUCAAAUCAUCAUGCCCCUUAUGACCUGGGCUACACACGUGCUACAAUGGAUGGUACAACGAGUUGCGAACUCGCGAGAGUAAGCUAAUCUCUUAAAGCCAUUCUCAGUUCGGAUUGUAGGCUGCAACUCGCCUACAUGAAGUCGGAAUCGCUAGUAAUCGCGGAUCAGCAUGCCGCGGUGAAUACGUUCCCGGGCCUUGUACACACCGCCCGUCACACCAUGAGAGUUUGUAACACCCAAAGUCGGUG